UACGAAGGGGGCUAGCGUUGUUCGGAAUUACUGGGCGUAAAGCGCGCGCAGGCGGUCUUCCAAGUCAGUGGUGAAAGCCCGGAGCUCAACUCCGGAACUGCCAUUGAAACUGUAAGACUUGAGGAUGGGAGAGGUGAGUGGAAUUCCCAGUGUAGAGGUGAAAUUCGUAGAUAUUAGGAAGAACACCAGUGGCGAAGGCGGCUCACUGGCCCGGUACUGACGCUGAGGCGCGAAAGCGUGGGGAGCAAACAGG
rnacentral:rRNA from 1 species